GUCGAACGGUAACAGGUCCUUCGGGAUGCUGACGAGUGGCGGACGGGUGAGGAAUGCAUCGGAAUCUGCCUGUUUGUGGGGGAUAACGCAUGGAAACGUGCGCUAAUACCGCAUACGUCCUUUUGUCGGGAGAUGAUUGGAGAAAGUGGGGGACCUUCGGGCCUCACGCGAACAGAUGAGCCGAUGUCGGAUUAGCUGGUUGGUGGGGUAAAGGCCUACCAAGGCGACGAUCCGUAGCUGGUCUGAGAGGAUGAUCAGCCACACUGGAACUGAGACACGGUCCAGACUCCUACGGGAGGCAGCAGUGGGGAAUAUUGGACAAUGGGGGCAACCCUGAUCCAGCCAUGCCGCGUGUGUGAAGAAGGCCCUUGGGUUGUAAAGCACUUUUGUUGGGGAAGAAAAGUUUUCGGUGAAUAACUGGAGACGCUGACGGUACCCAAAGAAUAAGCACCGGCUAACUUCGUGCCAGCAGCCGCGGUAAUACGAAGGGUGCAAGCGUUACUCGGAAUCACUGGGCGUAAAGGGUGCGCAGGCGGCCUGCCAAGUCUGAUGUGAAAGCCCUGGGCUCAACCUGGGAACGGCAUUGGAAACUGGUGGGCUGGAGUACGGUAGAGGGUGG
rnacentral:rRNA from 1 species